rnacentral:lncRNA from 1 species
GAGCUGUCGAAGACUAAGAAGGCACUCAAUGAGGCUUCAGUGAAAAUUGAUCGGUUAAAGUCGACCAUUCAUCGGGAUGUCGUGGUGCACUCCGUGAAGAUGGCUCGAUUGACAACUGAGUUUGUAAAGCUAUAAAAACUUGUCGAGGAUACCACCUGGGGUGUCACUACCAAACAACACCAUCUCCAUAGUCAGCUCCAUUAGGCUCAGGGAAAGAUUUCAAAACUGGAGUUGUCGGAGGCUACUGCUAAAGAAGCUAGAGGGUGCUUCGCCGAUCAUAUGGCGUGGCUCUAAAAAGAUCUUCAUGUUGUCCGAGAGAAAAUUUUUAGGCUUGAGAAUUCAGGGAAUGCGGUUGUCGAAUACAGACCAAGGGAAAGUCGACCAAUGGUCAUAAGAUCCCAGAGCCUAAUCGAACAAGGAUUAGCGGACCCUAC